AGUGGACAUUGUAUACAGGUGCGAAUAUCUCAGACAAUGUUAUAAAACUGUCUGACCCCAGUCUCUGGGGUGAAGGAGCGUAAUCUACACAGCAACAAUGAAGGGACACCAGAAAGCGCAAAGAAGCUGGGACCAGCUUGUGUGCCAACAUCAACGAUAUGCUGGGAGCAUGGAUAGGAAACAUCGAAGUGGGUUGUCGACAGCUUUGAAGAGACAGAGAGACCCUCUGUCUGACACAUAGGACAAUGUCCCCUCGUCAGAGGUCAAUGAUGUUCAGAAGAGGCGUCACCUGAAGUUGUUGGGCGAGGACAACGUCAGUCCUAACAAGAGUUCUUCAUCAAGAGACCACCUCUGCUGUGCAGAGCUGGAGGUGAAGCCCGACACCCCUGCUCUCUGCUCUGUCCGCUCCAGAGUACAGCAACUAACCCAGAGACGUGAGGGAGGGCCUCUACUGGCUCCGAGAUGCCUCUCUGAUCCAGGGUCUGGGGUACCAUCCAUUAUAAUCCAGGAAAGGUUCAAAGAGCACAUUAUUAUUGGUGAGGCAGAAUUCAGCUCACGGAUGGAGCGGUUUAACGCCCCCACCACCCGUCCGGCCAGCCCUCUGCCAGGAAACUGGUGCCCCCGUACCCUCUCCAACGCCGUUACCAACUUACAGCUUAAACUUUAGGACAAUGAAACACCCAGCUCCAAACAAGCCUCCUGCAUACGCCAGGAAAGGGAGGGGGAGCUGCGACUCUUAAGGGCCCAGACAAUCGCAGAGAAUGUCUUUCUAAAGCAAAGAUUCUCUGAUUCCUCACUGACUGAGAGGCUGAGCUGAGCUCUCAAGAUGAAACCAACACUGCUGAGAUGAUUGACCUGAUGUUUAAGGACAUGCUGGAGGCAUUGUCCGGGUUAGGGGAGGGUUUGGCCGGUCGGGAAGUCCUUGUCCCAUCGCGCUCUAGCGACUCCUGUGG